ACCGAUAGCGGACAAGUACCGUGAGGGAAAGGUGAAAAGUACCCCGGAAGGGGAGUGAAAGAGAACUUGAAACCGUGUGCUUACAAGUAGUCAGAGCCCGUUAAUGGGUGAUGGCGUGCCUUUUGUAGAAUGAACCGGCGAGUUACGAUCUGAUGCAAGGUUAAGCAGCAAAUGUGGAGCCGCAGCGAAAGCGAGUCUGAAUAGGGCGUUGAGUAUUUGGUCGUAGAC
rnacentral:rRNA from 17 species